ensembl:snRNA U6 U6 spliceosomal RNA
GUGCUCGCUUCAGCAGCACAUACACUAAAAUUGGAAUGAUAGCGAAGAUUAGCAUGGCCCCUGUGCAAGGAUGACACACAAAUUCGUGAAGCAUUCCAUAUUCUU